rnacentral:rRNA from 1 species
AGUCGAGCGAGUCUGCCUUGAGAUCGGAGUGCUUGCACUCUGUGAAACAAGAUACAGGCUAGCGGCGGACGGGUGAGUAACACGUGGGUAACCUGCCCAAGAGAUCGGGAUAACACCUGGAAACAGAUGCUAAUACCGGAUAACAAUAGAUGAUGCCUAUCAACUGUUUAAAAGAUGGUUCUGCUAUCACUCUUGGAUGGACCUGCGGUGCAUUAGCUAGUUGGUAGGGUAACGGCCUACCAAGGCGAUGAUGCAUAGCCGAGUUGAGAGACUGAUCGGCCACAUUGGGACUGAGACACGGCCCAAACUCCUACGGGAGGCAGUAGUAGGGAAUCUUCCACAAUGGACGCAAGUCUGAUGGAGCAACGCCGCGUGAGUGGAGAAGGGUUUCGGCUCGUAAAGCUCUGUUGUUGGUGAAGAAGGACAGGGGUAGUAACUGACCUUUGUUUGACGGUAAUCAAUUAGAAAGUCACGGCUAACUACGUGCCAGCAGCCGCGGUAAUACGUAGGUGGCAAGCGUUGUCCGGAUUUAUUGGGCGUAAAGCGAGUGCAGGCGGCUCGAUAAGUCUGAUGUGAAAGCCUUCGGCUCAACCGGAGAAUUGCAUCAGAAACUGUCGAGCUUGAGUACAGAAGAGGAGAGUGGAACUCCAUGUGUAGCGGUGAAAUGCGUAGAUAUAUGGAAGAACACCGGUGGCGAAGGCGGCUCUCUGGUCUGUUACUGACGCU